rnacentral:rRNA from 1 species
UACGUAGGGUGCAGGCGUUGUCCGGAAUUAUUGGGCGUAAAGAGCUCGUAGGCGGUUUGUCGCGUCUGCUGUGAAAACUCGGGGCUUAACUCCGGGCCUGCAGUGGGUACGGGCAGACUAGAGUGCGGUAGGGGAGACUGGAAUUCCUGGUGUAGCGGUGAAAUGCGCAGAUAUCAGGAGGAACACCGGUGGCGAAGGCGGGUCGCUGGGACGUUACUGACGCUGAGACGCGAAAGCGUGGGGAGCAAACAGG